rnacentral:rRNA from 1 species
GACAGAGGCCCCAAGCGUUAGGCGGAAUCACUGGGCUUAAAGCGUGUGUAGGCGGAUUUCUAAGUGCCUUGUGAAAUCCCACGGCUCAACCGUGGAACUGCUGGGCAUACUGGGGAGUCUUGGGCCAUUCAGGGGGCAACUGGAACAAGCGGUGGAGCGGUGAAAUGCGUAGAUAUCGCUUGGAACGCCGAAGGUGAAAACAGGUUGCUGGGGAUGUGCCGACGCUGAGACACGAAAGCCAGGGGGAGCAAACGGGG